AUUGAACGCUGGCGGCAGGCCUAACACAUGCAAGUCGAACGAGUGGCGGACGGGUGAGUAAUGUCUGGGAAACUGCCCGAUGGAGGGGGGUAACUACUGGAAACGGUAGCUAAUACCGCAUACCAUCGGAUGUGCCCAGAUGGGAUUAGCUAGUAGGUGGGGUAACGGCUCACCUAGGCGACGAUCCCUAGCUGGUCUGAGAGGAUGACCAGCCACACUGGACCGGAGACACGGUCCAGACUCCUACGGGAGGCAGCAGUGGGGAAUAUUGCACAAUGGGCGCAAGCCUGAUGCAGCCAUGCCGCGUGUAUGAAGAAGGCCUUCGGGUUGUAAAGUACUUUCAGCGGGGAGGCGUUACCCGCAGAAGAAGCACCGGCUAACUCCGUGCCAGCAGCCGCGGUAAUUC
rnacentral:rRNA from 1 species